UUUUAUUUUGUCUGGUAUCGCAAAAAAAACGAAUGAUACAGUAACACAGUACUAGUAGAAAUGAAUGUCUUUAGGUGAAUCGAGAACUAUAGCUUUCAUAUUAUAUACUAUGGUGCAUGCAGUACUACACAUAUAUAGCAUAAUUAAUAAUGUUUGCUCUUUUUACAUUCGUCAUUGAUGCUUGGCUGCUUUUACGGUUGCACCUUUUCUAUCAUCCGAUGCUCUCUCUUUCUGAUGUAUGCUAAAGAUUUAAACUUUAAACUUGAUAAAAAAAAUGCAGAUGAACAUAUCACAGAGUAUGGUUUACUGUCAGAGUGGACAAACAUGGAAACUUACUAGAAGGAAGGGAAGAGGAAGAGAGAUAAUUAAGGAGACCCACAAGGAGUGAAGGCUCUUUGCCC
rnacentral:lncRNA from 1 species